rnacentral:lncRNA from 1 species
GGAGGGAGUACUAUACAUCCGGAAUUGUAUUUGGAAGUGUCAAAAUUUAUCAUUUAUAAUCAUUGAUAGUUACAUUGCUAGAUAUACACACACUGAAAGUCUGAAAUAUUCUUGAAAAAGCACAUGUCAGCUGUCAUAUCUUCAUUAGAUGUUUUUAAAUCUUUUCCUGGUUUGAUGUUGAUAUUUUGUUAGUUUGUAGAUGCUGCUAGUUUGUACUUUCAAAAAUUUAAACUUGAUUUUGUUUUCUCUGCAGUACAACAAGUUGUGUCUCAAGCUUGUAAGUUCUGUUACAAGGAUGAGAUUGUUAGAAUGCUACAAAACUUCUACGUGAUAGCAGUUGUACCAGUCAACUAGGAUGUCUACAUGAUGUUUCUUGUAUUCAUGGCAGCAACAAAAUCUUGUGGCGCAAGGUUAAGCUCUGAUCUUCAAAAGCAUUGCAAGCUUGGUGAUUCUUCUGCGGGAGACAUGUGGUCCUGUUUAAAUUAUGCUGUUUCACAUGAUGGUGGCGAGUCUGUUAUUCACAAGACAUCUAAUGAAGUCAUCCAAUAAAAAGGUUCCGAACAAACAAUUUGUCUUCCUAGACAUGGCUGUAGCUGCGUGUCAAGCUCAAACCAUUUGUUUAGCUUAGUUUGAACAAAAGAAAUCUUAUUGUCUAUGUAAAUUCUGUUUAUUGAUGUAGUUGGACGCUACUGAAUGCAUGUAUGGAUGUUGCAGUACUGAAUUUUAAUCAUUAUGUGUUUGAGAUUUUCUACUGAAUAUUGAGUCAAUUCCUGUGUGAAUAGAAAUAAAAAUAAAUAUAC